UACGGAGGGUGCAAGCGUUAUCCGGAUUCACUGGGUUUAAAGGGUGUGUAGGCGGAUAUUUAAGUCAGUGGUGAAUCUCCGAGCUCAACCCGGAAACUGCCAUUGAUACUAUUUAUCUUGAAUUCUGUUGAGGUAGGCGGAAUACAUCAUGUAGCGGUGAAAUGCUUAGAUAUGAUGUAGAACACCGAUUGCGAAGGCAGCUUACUAAACAGAUAUUGACGCUGAGGCACGAAAGCGUGGGGAUCAAACAGG
rnacentral:rRNA from 1 species